rnacentral:tRNA from 1 species
GGGCCUGUAGCUCAGCCUGGGAGAGCGCGAGACCGAUUUAACAUAUCGGCGUGACGCUCAUAACCUCGUGGUCCUGGGUUCAAAUCCCAGCAGGCCCACCA